AGAAGAGAAGAGAAGAGAAGAGAAGAGAAGAGAAGAGAAGAGAAGAGAAGAGAAGAGAAGAGAAGAGAAGAGAAGAGUAAUCAUCUGUAUUGUGUCGACUGGCAUAUAGGGCGGCUGAUCCAUCUGUUCCACUUUCAUUUAGGAGGAUUUGAAUGACACAGGGAGGAGAUUAGAAGCCUUUAUGGGGCCGCUCCCAAAAACUGCCAGGAAAUGAGCGAGUGAGAGAGACAGAGAGAGUGAAAGAUGAAGAGGAGAAUGAGGAGGAGUAGGGGUGAAAAUGGGAGGAAGAAAGAGCAUACUUGCAAACAGCGGUUAUAAACCUUAAGAUCUCUGAUGAUUAACACUGGCUGCUCCUGUGAACGUUUCAUGUACCCGUUGUCAGCAUUUCUCAGUCAUGCAGACACAGUGGGGACAUGUCACCAGUGUUUUCCUGUUUCUCUAUUAAGCAACCUAGUCUAAAAAGUCCCAAAUGUACCACAGACACCCUAAUGCCACACAUACACUGAUGCACAAAUGCCCUUCGUGAACACAAACACACAAACACACACUCUCAGAUGUGAAUUACAGAGCAAAGCCAAGCACAACCACUGUCUCCAAUCUUGUUUGGGUGGAACUUUUUAUGGUUAACUAGGGAGGAGUGCAAGCGAUUUUAAGACAUUUUCUCACCAACAAUCCCGCCUCCCUCCCUUCUAAAAAGAAAAACUUCAGAGAGGGAGUCAGAAAAUAAUUAAGAGGUAAAUGUGACUGAGAUAGAAAGACAGAAAGUAAAGGUUUUUCCAAGAUGAAAGGUGUUCUGAGAUGCAUCAGUCUGGAACAUGUCCACAUGAGCAGGUGCAAAUUUACCAAAACCACACAGAAGUUAAUACAAAAUUUGUUUUUAGAGUAGUGGCAUUGAGUAAAAAAGAGCUGUGGUGGAAAAGCAUGGGUGUGUGCUCUGUCCUUCAGUGUGUUGGUGUUAAGUGUGACUGGCCCACAUUGGUGUGAGCUGGGUCAGCACAUGUUGUCAUAAUGAUGUGUGCGAACUUCAGGGUCAGUCUAGGAAUUAUGAAGGGCAGAGAGAUAAUCUGAGUGUGUUCCACUUUUAUCUCUGAGUUAAAUACCAUCACUGUUGUUUGGAGUUACAGCAGUAUGCCUCAGGGUUUGUGCCAAUGACUGAAGGCUUUCUCAAUAUCUUUGCUGUUUAGACACUUUUGUGACUGGCGAAAUUAUUUGUGUUGAUUCUUUUCAUAAUAUUCCAUAAAUACGUAAAUCAAAGUAGGGCUGAAUGAUAUGGGAUGUGUGCCCCUGAGUGAAUGCUGAAGAAUCCAGAUGGCUUUAAACUAUUAUUUACUUUCAGAACAUGAUAAACAUUUGCCAAACUACUGGAGAUUUCACAAAUCUGAGGUAAAGCAAACAUGCCAGUCACUGCAUCUGUAAACAAUGCAACAUUUUCAUUUUCUUUGUGGGACAACCAGACUAGAUGUUUCUGCCAUGUACUGACCUAUAAUAUGUAUGUUUAUGGCUAAAGUAUUGAAAUCAUAUUAAACAUUUAUUAUUGUUACAUAGAUGGUAAGUAUGGUGAUCAUUUUAUCAUCCAGCUCAAUCUCAAACCUCAUCACAGCCUAGCUCUAAAUGAAUGAAAAUCUAUGAAACAAAUACAGACAAAAUAGCAUUAAAUAGUCUCUCACCACACAUGUAUUUAAUUUUCUUCUUACUCUGCUGUUGACAAAGGUCAUGAGUUCACAGUCAUAAACAGAAAAUAAGCGCUUUAAGCAUAAGACACUGAGCAAACUACUGGAUUAUACAUUUUGGCAAAUGGAUGCAAUGAUGAUGAUAGCUGUAAUUACGCCAUUUUAAUCAGUUCUCUGCUCUCAUUUCUCUGGCUGAGGCCUGAUCUAAUGUUCUCUCGGAGGGUUAUUGAGUUAAAUGCAGAUUAUCACUUUGCAGUGGCUGAAAUCCUACUUUUAGUGCAGUAACUACUAUCAGCGCUUUUAAGUAGGCCAGUGAUCUUUACAACCAUGUUUCUGCACCCAAGUCACAUUUUAUAACCACACUGAUUAAUGGUUACACUGGUGUCUAAUUUAGUAAGGUUAUGUCGCUUUUAAUUUAUGGAUUCUGUAUGAGAGAUAUUGCUCUUCAGUAGCAGAAAAAAACAAUUACACUAGAGCAGGACUGAGGCUCUUGUCAAAGACAUAAUAAAAUAAGCUCUGAACUGGGUCAAAAAUCUUGAUCCAGAAGCGCUGCUCUGCCCCACCUUCCUCUCCUCUGUUUGACUCUUUUAUGUACAGUGUGACAGAGGCCUCCUUCACGGUCUGCAGCUACCAGACAUCUGGGCUCUGCAUUAGGGAUUUUCCGCUGCUUUGUAAAGCCUGCUUAGUGCUAAACAGCAGCUCCCAGACUGCCUGUAGGAGAUGCAACCCAUUGACACAUAACACAUCAACCCUCCCUCUGGCCCACAUCAAUCUUCUCCCAAAAUCAGAAAAGGUAGUUUCCCUGCUAACAGCACAGCUGGCCUGCUACAGGGCUGGUGCAGAAAGACAGAUUAUGUAAGGAUUUGACUGAAGAAAAAAA